rfam:Legionella sp. LEGN contig_135, whole genome shotgun sequence.
CCAUCCAUACGGCUGGAUGAACCUACGAUCCUGAAUAAAGAGCGGAUCGGACAAUGAGGCAAAGCGCAAAUGCGCGGGAUCUAAAACGCGAGUGGCGGAUUCUCCUGGAAGUCGUAACCGGGUAAGCGC